CAUCUACAUAAAACAAGAUAAGCCCAAAAUGUGUAGAUACACAAUAUUCUGACCUGACUUGUGAUGGAGCAGCAAAGAAAGGGGAAGUGCCUCAGUGGGAGGUGUAUGUUAUACUAUCUGCCUGUUUCUGAUUGGUUCCUUUUUUCUAUGUGUUCUUUGCUGCUACGGAGUAGUAAAGGAAGUUAAUGCUUAAUUACAUCUGAAACAAAAUUGUAAAGUGAGGACAUCAGACAACAGGCACUACACUGUGUUAUAAAUAUUCAAAACAAAUAAAAUAUUUUUAAAGAAGUUACAAUAGUUAUUUUAAUAAGUGAAUCCCAUAAAUUAAGGGUUACUCUAAAUAAAAGAGCAGUGUUUUCAUAAACCACUGGUAUUGGUCAGAGUUACACUUGUUGUGCUGGUUUGCCAGAAAGGGAGGGAGAUCAGGACAUGUGAAUCACAGAUGGAUGCAUGCUGGCUAAUGACACCUUAAUAAAGCGGACGGAAGUGGGCUUACAUCUCUGGCAGCAGAGGGUUAAAUUUUGUUGCACAGCAUUUCAUAGCACCAUGACCACUUUAAAUCACAUAAGUGGUUAUGGUGUUUGGAGUACCACUUUAAAUACAUGUACCUGUUUUAUGAAACUCACCUAAAUGGCCUAAAUUGGCAAAGCCCAUAUCAGAGCCUGACAAAUAGUGAUUGUGGCAGCUGUGGUGUGGUGAAAAAAACAAAACAAAGUCCCUACAGCAAGAAAUCAAAUUAGGUGUUCUUUUUCUAUAUAUCACUACCACUAGUAAAUUGCAUCCAUCCUAAAUGACAAGAAUAGUAAUUGAACAUAUUUUGGAGAAUGGAAUGUAAUGAUAAGUAGGCAGGGUCUGCAGAAAUAAUUAAAUGUUACUGAAAGUAGUCAAUAAAUGCCAAAAAUUGGCCCGGGCUUUCUGCUGAACAGGCAGAGCUUUCUAUAAAUUCACUGUUUUAUUCUUACUUUAAUGAUUAUUGCAUUUGUCAAACAUAUCUUCUUCAGCUGCAUGCCAAGGAAUACCAAAGGUUACAUCUUCGGCUGUUUCGUUAUAACUAAAGCUCC